AUGCUCCGUGACAUGGCCGCCACCUCCAACGACGGCGUCUUCCCUCUGGAGGUGUUGCGCGACAUCCUACUGCGCGUCCCAGCCAAGACGGUCCGCCGCUUCCGCUGCGUCUCCUCCUCGUGGAGUUCCCUCCGCCACCCAGGCUUCAUCACCGCCCACAGGGCCCGGCACCACCAAACGCUCAUCGCUGCUACCGUGCGUCUCCGCCGUGAAGCUGUGGUUCAUGACGGACGUUUAUGA
rnacentral:rRNA from 1 species